GCUGAAGCUUGGUGCUUGCACCGAGCGGAUGAGUUGCGAACGGGUGAGUAACGCGUAGGUAACCUGCCUCUUAGCGGGGGAUAACUAUUGGAAACGAUAGCUAAUACCGCAUAAAAGUCGAUAUCGCAUGAUGUUGACUUGAAAGGUGCAAUUGCAUCACUAAGAGAUGGACCUGCGUUGUAUUAGCUAGUUGGUGAGGUAACGGCUCACCAAGGCGACGAUACAUAGCCGACCUGAGAGGGUGAUCGGCCACACUGGGACUGAGACACGGCCCAGACUCCUACGGGAGGCAGCAGUAGGGAAUCUUCGGCAAUGGGGGCAACCCUGACCGAGCAACGCCGCGUGAGUGAGGAAGGUUUUCGGAUCGUAAAGCUCUGUUGUAAGAGAAGAACGAGUGUGAGAGUGGAAAGUUCACGCUGUGACGGUAUCUUACCAGAAAGGGACGGCUAACUACGUGCCAGCAGCCGCGGUAAUACGUAGGUCCCGAGCGUUAUCCGGAUUUAUUGGGCGUAAAGCGAGCGCAGGCGGUUAGAUAAGUCUGAAGUUAAAGGCUGUGGCUUAACCAUAGUACGCUUUGGAAACUGUUUAACUUGAGUGCAGAAGGGGAGAGUGGAAUUCCAUGUGUAGCGGUGAAAUGCCUAGAUAUAUGGAGGAACACCGGUGGCGAAAGCGGCUCUCUGGUCUGUAACUGACGCUGAGGCUCGAAAGCGUGGGGAGCAAACAGGAUUAGAUAACCUGGUAGUCCACGCCGUAAACGAUGAGU
rnacentral:rRNA from 1 species